UCUGUGACGGCGUGCCUUUUGUAGAAUGAGCCAGCGAGUUACGGCAUGUGGCAAGGUUAAGCUAAAAAGCGAGCCGCAGCGAAAGCGAGUCUGAAUAGGGCGAGUGAGUCGCAUACCGUAGACGCGAAGCCAGGUGAGCUAUCCAUGAGCAGGCUGAAGCGGGGGUAAGACCCCGUGGAGGGCCGAACCCACUUAGGUUGAAAACUGAGGGGAUGACUUGUGGAUAGGAGUGAAAGGCCUAUCAAACCUGGAGAUAUCUCGUUCUCUCCGAAAUAGCUUUAGGGCUAGCCUCGGAUGUUUACCAAUGGGGGUAGAGCACUGAAUAGUUGCGGGGGCUUCACCGCCUACCAAGAUUAAUCAAACUCCGAAUACCAUUGGUCUAGAAUCCGGGAGUCAGAAUAUGUGGGCUAAGCUGUGUAUUCGAAAGGGAAACAGCCCAGACCGCCCGCUAAGGUCCCAAAAUCAAUGCUAAGUGGCAAAGGAUGUGCGUUUGCUCAGACAACCAGGAUGUUGGCUUAGAAGCAGCCAUUCAUUUAAAGAGUGCGUAAUAGCUCACUGGUCGAGUGGACAUGCGCCGACAAUAUACGGGGCUAAGCAUUGUACCGAAGCGGCGGAUCAGUACUUUGUACUGGUGGUAGGAGAGCUUUCUGUACGGGUUGAAGCAGUUGGAUAACCAACUGUGGACUGUCCAGAAGUGAGAAUGCUGGCAUGAGUAACGAGAGACAUGUAAAAAACAUGUCCGCCGUAAACCCAAGGUUUCCUGGGCAAGGCUAAUCCUCCCAGGGUUAGGCGGGAGCUAAGGCAAGGCCGGAAGGCGUAGUCGAUGCACAACAGGUAGAAAUUCCUGUCCCUCCAAAAGAGCGUUAUCACCAAUGGGGUGACGGAGAAGGGUAGCUAGGCGGGGUUCUGGACGUCCCCGUGAUGGCACGUAGGCUGAGAAGUAGUGAAAUGCGCUUCUCAUGUGGCUGAGGUGUCGGACGAAGCAAUUGAGUGAAGCUAGUAAGCCCAUACUUCCAAGAAAAACCUCUAGGGAGCUCUGAGGAGCCCGUACCGCAAACCGACACAGGUGGGUGGGUAGAGCAUACCAAGGCGAUCGGGAGAACUAUGGUUAAGGAACUCGGCAAAAUUGCCCCGUAACUUCGGGAGAAGGGGUGCCGGUUUCGGUGAAGGGAUUUACUCCCCGAGCUAAGAUCGGUCACAGUAAAUAGGUCCAAGCGACUGUUUAUCAAAAACACAGGACUCUGCUGAAGUCGUAAGACGACGUAUAGGGUCUGACGCCUGCCCGGUGCCGGAAGGUCACGAGGAGUUGUUAGCAUUAGCGAAGCAGCGAAUCUAAGCCCCGGUAAACGGCGGCCGUAACUAUAACGGUCCUAAGGUAGCGAAAUUCCUUGUCGGGUAAGUUCCGACCUGCACGAAAGGCGUAACGAUUUGGACGCUGUCUCAACCAUAGACCCGGUGAAAUUGCACUAGUCGUGAAGAUGCGACUUACCCGCAGAAGGACGGAAAGACCCCGUGAACCUUUACUGCAGCUUGACAUUGGCUGCCGGUUCGUCGUGUAGAGGAUAGGUGGGAGACUUUGAACCAGGGACGCCAGUCUCUGGGGAGUCACCCUUGGAAUACCACCCUCGACGUUCUGGCAUCCUAACUUGCGACCGUUAUCCGGCGUGAGGACCGUGUCAGGUGGGUAGUUUGACUGGGGCGGUCGCCUCCUAAAAUGUAACGGAGGCGCACGUAAGGUCUGCUCAGGAUGGUCGGCAACCAUCCUUUUGAGUGCAAGAGCAUAAGCAGGCUUGACUGCGAGGCCUACAAGCCGAGCAGAUGGGAAACCAGGUUCUAGUGAUCCGGCGGCUCAGAGUGGUAUGGCCGUCGCUCAACGGAUAAAAGGUACUCCGGGGAUAACAGGCUGAUCUUCCCCAAGAGUCCACAUCGACGGGAAGGUUUGGCACCUCGAUGUCGGCUCAUCGCAUCCUGGGGCUGGAGAAGGUCCCAAGGGUUGGGCUGUUCGCCCAUUAAAGCGGUACGUGAGCUGGGUUCAGAACGUCGUGAGACAGUUCGGUCCCUAUCCACUGUAGGCGUUAGAAUAUUGAGAAGACCUGUCCUUAGUACGAGAGGACCGGGAUGGACAAACCUCUGAUGUACCAGUUGUCACGCCAGUGGCACAGCUGGGUAGUCACGUUUGGAAUAGAUAACCGCUGAAAGCAUCUAAGCGGGAAACUAACUUCAAGAUAAGUAUUCUUUAAGAUACCUUCGAGCCUAGGAGGUUGAUAGGUUGGGGGUGUAAGUGCAGCAAUGCAUUUAGCUGACCAAUACUAAUUAUCGAAGUUUUAAUCUA
rnacentral:rRNA from 1 species